UCAAAAUCUUCCCCAUGUUUUUUCCUUUUCCCAAAAUACCCACUUCCUCUCGCCCUCUUCUCCCCUCGGUUCUCGCCACAGCCGGUGGAACCCUCUCUGCUUUCACGCCGUCGCCAAAGUCUCGCUUUCUACUCUCUAAACUGCCUGCCUUCCCUUCUCUUCUUGCUCAAGUGCAGGUUAGCUCAUUGUGCUAACGAGAUAGGUGAAGAUAUCAAAGGUUCUCUUAAUGAUUGUGGAGUUGGAAAUUUCAAGGUUCUCUUCAAUGACCAAGUGAGAGCAAAGUUUGAUUGAUGGGAUAGUUGUUCAUCCAUCAGUUGUUUUUUUAUGUUUAGUUGCAGAUAAGAUAUUAACUACAGAUCAAGAUCUUUCUUCUUUUCAGUUUUGAAGUUCCCUCACUAGAUUUUAUAUAUAUUGAAGAAACUUAGCUUGCUUUCUCCGUUUUAUUUCUUUUAUUUUUUCACUCUCUAGAGGUGUUCAGUAAAAUUCUUUUCAAUAUGCAAAGAGAAGUUAUGUUCUUAUUUACAGCAUGAUCAUGUGAAUAACAUAGAGCAUAAGUUACUAUCAUC